ACGCUGGCGGCAGGCUUAACACAUGCAAGUCGAACGGUAACAGGAAUUAGCUUGCUAAUUUGCUGACGAGUGGCGGACGGGUGAGUAAUGCUUGGGAAACUGGCUUAUGGAGGGGGAUAACUACGGGAAACUGUAGCUAAUACCGCGUAAAAUCUUCGGAUUAAAGGGUGGGACUUUCGAGCCACCUGCCAUAAGAUGAGCCCAAGUGGGAUUAGGUAGUUGGUUAGGUAAAGGCUGACCAAGCCGACGAUCUCUAGCUGGUCUGAGAGGAUGACCAGCCACACUGGAACUGAGACACGGUCCAGACUCCUACGGGAGGCAGCAGUGGGGAAUAUUGCACAAUGGGGGGAACCCUGAUGCAGCCAUGCCGCGUGAAUGAAGAAGGCCUUCGGGUUGUAAAGUUCUUUCGGUGACGAGGAAGGUUGAUAGGUUAAUAGCCUAUCAAAUUGACGUUAAUCACAGAAGAAGCACCGGCUAACUCCGUGCCAGCAGCCGCGGUAAUACGGGGGGUGCGAGCGUUAAUCGGAAUAACUGGGCGUAAAGGGCACGCAGGCGGUGACUUAAGUGAGAUGUGAAAGCCCCGAGCUUAACUUGGGAAUUGCAUUUCAUACUGGUCGCUAGAGUACUUUAGGGAGGGGUAGAAUUCCACGUGUAGCGGUGAAAUGCGUAGAGAUGUGGAGGAAUACCGAAGGCGAAGGCAGCCCCUUGGGAAUGUACUGACGCUCAUGUGCGAAAGCGUGGGGAGCAAACAGGAUUAGAUACCCUGGUAGUCCACGCUGUAAACGAUGUCGAUUUGGGGAUUGGGCUUUGAGCUUGGUGCCCGUAGCUAACGUGAUAAAUCGACCGCCUGGGGAGUACGGCCGCAAGGUUAAAACUCAAAUGAAUUGACGGGGGCCCGCACAAGCGGUGGAGCAUGU
rnacentral:rRNA from 1 species